AACCAAAUGGGAAAUGAAAUUGGGGGGAAAAGUAACCGGGAAAGGAAAUGGGGAAAACCGGAAAAGUAAUCUGACGUUUUGUUUGUGUUUUUUUUCACUUUUCUGAACUUUUCAAAUAAUAAUAAUUCAUUAUCAUUAUUCAGUCAAAAGAAUCAAAGUUCAAAAAAUGUGAAAAAACAAGCAAAACGUCAAAACCAGAAAAGUGAGAAGAAUCAGAAAACUGAGAAAAGAGAAACUCGAAACUCGAAAGAAAAGAAAACCCUAGCUUUUUCUUUUUGGAUUUUUCCUUCAGUCAUCGCCCUUCUCUUCUCCUUCAGCCUCGCCGAGUCGCCGCACUCGACGGCGUCGACGCUCUCUCUCUGAAGUCUCUGCUCUCCCCGUCUCUCUGCCAGCGUGCCGCUCUCUCUCCAGCCGAUGUCGCGUCCGGUACCGCCAGGUCGAUGACUGUUAGAGACGCUCUAAACUCUGCACUCGAUGAGGAAAUGUCUGCUGAUCCUAAAGUAUUUUUGAUGGGUGAAGAGAUUGGGGAAUAUCAAGGAUUCAAGGUGCAUACAAGAUAUCCAAAGGCUUUUGGGCAAGUAUGGUCCUGAGAGGGUUCUUGAUACACCAAUUACGGAGGCAAUUGACCGUCAUCAUUAAUUCUGCUGCAAAAUCAAACUAUAUGUCUGCUGGCCAGAUAUCUGUGCCUAUAGUUUUUAGAGGGCCUAAUGGUGCUGCUGCUAGAGUUGGUGCCCAACACUCUCAUGCAUGUUUUCUUUAAAAUGCUGGAGCUAAAAAUUUGACCUGAAUGCUUGGUGUUGGCAUAUCUAGUAGUUGCUUCAUAUAUCACAGUUAAACUUAAAUUGCUCUUUUGCCCUUCUUGAUACAAUGAUUGAAUGAUACUUGUGUUGGAAAUUUGGAA